AUUGAACGCUGGCGGCAUGCUUUACACAUGCAAGUCGAACGGUAACAGGUUAAGCUGACGAGUGGCGAACGGGUAAGUAAUGCAUCGGAACGUGCCCGAUCGUGGGGGAUAACGCAGCGAAAGCUGCGCUAAUACCGCAUACGAUCUGAGGAUGAAAGCGGGGGACCGUAAGGCCUCGCGCGAUCGGAGCGGCCGAUGUCAGAUUAGGUAGUUGGUGGGGUAAAGGCUCACCAAGCCAACGAUCUGUAGCUGGUCUGAGAGGACGACCAGCCACACUGGGACUGAGACACGGCCCAGACUCCUACGGGAGGCAGCAGUGGGGAAUUUUGGACAAUGGGCGAAAGCCUGAUCCAGCAAUGCCGCGUGCAGGAAGAAGGCCUACGGGUUGUAAACUGCUUUUGUACGGAGCGAAAAGGCUCUCUCUAAUACAGGGGGCUCAUGACGGUACCGUAAGAAUAAGCACCGGCUAACUACGUGCCAGCCGCCGCAGUAA
rnacentral:rRNA from 1 species